GACGAACGCUGGCGGCGUGCUUAACACAUGCAGGUCGAACGGAAAGGCCCUGCUUUUGUGGGGUGCUCGAGUGGCGAACGGGUGAGUAACACGUGAGUAACCUGCCCUUGACUUUGGGAUAACUUCAGGAAACUGGGGCUAAUACCGGAUAGGAGCUCCUGCUGCAUGGUGGGGGUUGGAAAGUUUCGGCGGUUGGGGAUGGACUCGCGGCUUAUCAGCUUGUUGGUGGGGUAGUGGCUUACCAAGGCUUUGACGGGUAGCCGGCCUGAGAGGGUGACCGGCCACAUUGGGACUGAGAUACGGCCCAGACUCCUACGGGAGGCAGCAGUGGGGAAUAUUGAACAAUGGGCGGAAGCCUGAUGCAGCAACGCCGCGUGCGGGAUGACGGCCUUCGGGUUGUAAACCGCUUUCGCCUGUGACGAAGCGUGAGUGACGGUAAUGGGUAAAGAAGCACCGGCUAACUACGUG
rnacentral:rRNA from 1 species